GAUGAACGCUGGCGGCGCGCCUAACACAUGCAAGUCGAACGGUUAAAGCACCUUUUAGGUGUGUAUAAAGUGGCGAACGGCUGAGUAACACGUGGGCAACCUGCCCUCCUCUUGGGGAUAGCCUCGGGAAACCGAGGAUAAUACCCGAUACCUUCAAUGUGGCCGCAUGACGACAUUGAGAAAGCUUUUGCGGAGAAGGAUGGGCCCGCGGCCUGUUAGCUUGUUGGUGGGGUAGAGGCCUACCAAGGCAAUGAUGGGUAGCAUGGGUUGAGAGACCGACCAGCCAGAUUGGGACUGAGACACGGCCCAGACUCCUACGGGAGGCAGCAGUGGGGAAUACUAGCACAAUGGGCGAAAGCCGUGAUGCAGCGACGCCGCGUGCGGGACGAAGGCCUUCGGGUUGUAAACCGCUUUCAGCAGGGACGAGGCGAAAGUGACGGUACCUGCAGAAGAAGCCCCGGCUAACUACGUGCCAGCAGCCGCGGUAAUACGUAGGGGGCAAGCGUUAUCCGGAUUCAUUGGGCGUAAAGCGCUCGUAGGCGGUCUGUUAGGUCGGGAGUUAAAUCCGGAGGCUCAACCUCCGCCCGCUCCCGAUACCGGCAGACUUGAGUUUGGUAGGGGAAGGUAGAAUUCCUAGUGUAGCGGUGGAAUGCGCAGAUAUUAGGAAGAACACCAGUGGCGAAGGCGGCCUUCUGGGCCAUAACUGACGCUGAGGAGCGAAAGCUAGGGGAGCAAACAGGAUUAGAUACCCUGGUAGUCCUAGCUGUAAACGAUGGACACUAGGUGUGGGAGAAUACGUCUUCCGUGCCGCAGCUAACGCAUUAAGUGUCCCGCCUGGGGAGUACGGCCGCAAGGCUAAAACUCAAAGGAAUUGACGGGGACCCGCACAAGCAGCGGAGCAUGUGGUUUAAUUCGAAGCAACGCGAAGAACCUUACCAGGGCUUGACAUGUAGGUGAAGCGGCGG
rnacentral:rRNA from 2 species